GUAUCUUCCUGAAAAGUUACUUGCAAAUUAGUUUAGCGUACUAAGAUAUUAGCACUAGAAGCUACACCAAAAAUACUUGGUAGGAUUUUGUGUUUUUGCAGUGCAGAGCACCAGAGCUGCAUCUGAACACAGUAAUGAUAUUAGGGAGAAAUAAAAAUAAAAAUAAAAAAACAUCUGAACUUGACAGAAGACAAGAUGAAAGUCCACAUGUUUGGGUGAAUUGAGGUGUCUCCUUCUGCAGGGGGUAAUCAUCCAGCAGGCUGAUUCUGCACUGUAAUACAUUAUAUCUAAAGGCAGUAGACUGAUGCAAUUUAUGUCUCAGUGUGUGUGUGUGUGUGUGUGUGUGUGUGUGCUCGGCUGCAGAGCUGUCUGCCGUGGAAGAAGACGGGGAUGAAUAAUAAAUGCAGUCUGAAGUUUAGAUCCAACGUGUGUGGACUACUGAGCAGCGCCGAGGCCUUAUUGCCGCCCUGCCAGGUCUGAGGGGGGAUGGUUCCUUUUUUUUUUUUUUUUUUGGAGUGUUUUUUUGGGGGGGGAUUGGUGUAGGGGUAAUGAAUUGGAAAACAUAUCCUCGCCCCUCCCUCCCUCUUCGCUUUCUUUUCAACCCGCGCGCCGCGCUACAGCCAGCCUGCGGCAAUGCGAGCGCUGCCAUGGCAACGGAGACGUGCCGAGGACCGCAGAGGGGAGGGGGCAGAUCAUCAAUGUCUUUAGAGAGACCCCCCCGCCCCAUCCCCUCACACUUCAAAUCAAACCAAUAGACACAUAAACACACAGCCGCACUCCUCAGAGGAAAUAAAAUAAUUAAACAAAAUAUAAAGAAUCGAAAAUCUGCAGCAGAGGAACUGAAACUCGUUUCCCACAAGAACCGCCAUCUUGAAAACCGUCUGCUUCUUCUGGACUCCAUUUCCCAGAACCACCCGGGACCACGUCUAACACCUGGCAGCGGCGUCGGCCAUUUUCUAAGGUCAGAGCAUCAACUUCCAGACAGGGAGGAACCAGAACCAAGACCGGUUGGGCUGUAAGAAGAUCCGACUAUAUUAAAACAUCACAAUAUUUCUCGUUGACGUUGCUGCUAGCUAGCUGCUACUAGCUAGCUGCUACUAGCUAGCUGCUGCUAGCUAGCUACUGCUAGCAUGGCUUCAUCUGAUGAAAUCCUGAUUGAAAACACAUAAAUCGAUUUUUUUCCUUUUUGCGUUUCCAGCAGGAACAAUAAAUGGCUACAAAAUGAAAGACUAAACUAACAAUAAGCAACACAAGUUGUUCAGAAAGAGGCAGGAAGCAUCGCCAUAGCAACCAGUAGCUGGACAUCUAAGGGCUGUCGUGCGACAUCGUACUGAACCUGAUCAGCAGCAGCUGGGAAACGAUCAGCGCUGCAGAAUGAUCAGUUGGAGAGCAGGUCUUAAACAGAAAGCAGGAAAAAAAACAUCAGUUGGAGCUUGUGGCAAAAAUCCAUAAAAAUGCAGAAUAAAAGCCUUUUUGGAGCAUAAAUCUGA